UCACUUCCUCUUGCCUCACCCGCAGAACCCUAGCCGCCUUCUCCUACAACACCUCAGCCGCCUCCUCUCCCUCUCCACCCAGCCGCCCCCUCCCCCUCUCCUUGACUUGGCUCAAGUGCGCACUCGAGCCAAUCCUCCGCGCCGCCUCCUCCUCCCCUCCGCAUGGUCGCCGCUGCCGCCGAAGCGCAUGGUCGCCGCCGCCAUUCGUCUCUUUCUUCCCACAACGCCUUCCCAUCCUCCAUCAGUCGUCGCUGUGCGCCGUUGUUCUAGACCGGUCGAAGGUCGCUGCAAAGGAGCAGAGGAGGACGGCAGUGGGGCGAAGCAGCAGAGGAGGAGGGGAGCAGCAGCCGUGCCAGCCGGCGCGCAUCUCAUCGCAAUGCAUGCAGCUGCAGCAAGCUGAAGACAUGGCCCUCCAUGAGCGGCAGUCAGCACGAGGUCGGGGUGGAGGGCCAUGAGCACCAGGAGGCGCGUCGAGGGGCACCAGGAGGCACCAUGGUCAUUGUGGGAGCACGCCAAACCCGAAGGCCAUCACCAGCCGUUGUCCACGCCCUAGAGCUUAGGUGAGCAAAUCCAUUCUCCUUUCAGAUUCAGAUAACUUCGGGUAGUCAAGGUAAAUCCUUUAUGCUUGAGGGUACCAUAAAUAGACUAUUGAUUGAAUGAAACUUGUGGUUGGCUGCUAUUGUGUUGUUUGAUGUUUGGUUCAGAGGAAAAAUUGCAUUUAUUUAUAUAAAGGGUACUUAGUAAACUUCAGUCUAAUUUAACAUCACUCAGCUUCAGGGUUAUGUAUAUCUGUACGUAUAGAUUUUCAUGUUUAGAGAAAAAACUGUAUGUUAAAACAAGAUGCCAUGGUGAAUUAAUCUACAUCAAGAUAGCAUCAUGUUCUCAUCAGAAAGAGGAGUUAAAGUUUCAGCCAUGAUUGAGACCUGUUUAAAAAUGAAGUAAUGCUAAAAGGAGCAUCAUGUUCUCAUCAUAAAAAAAGGAGUUAAAGUUUCAGCCAGGAUUGAGACGACGUUCUUCUCCCUCAACGCGCGCCGUGGCGGUCCCUCCUCGUUGCUACCCUUCUCCUUGACUAUGCGGGGCGAGGGGAGCAGGGGCAGCAGCCAGUCGCUGCCCAGUAGCAAAGGAGGACGACGGUGGGGGAAGGAGCAGAGGAGGACGUCACCUGGGAAGGAGCAGAGAAGCUGGUGUUCCAAACGGCGCUUGCGUCACGUGCCGGACGCUACUCGUGGGCCCUCGUCAUCGUCCCCAACUUAGGCAUGAUGUAUGAAAAUCUGAAAAGCAGAGAAAGAAUCCCGACGAAGAGUUUGGUGAUGGGGAAUAGGAUGAGUUCUUUCUCUCUCUCUCAUCCACGUUUGUUCGUACAUUUUUAUUUUGAUGUUAUGGUUUAUUCUAUCCCUUCUUAGAUUAAACUUCCUUGAACCAUCUAAAUCUCUUUGUUCAAUGACUCUGAGUUUACCACUCCUUGUAUCUUAACCUUCUUGCUUCAGCAGGGUUAGUUGUUGGGUCAUCUGUGUUGUUGACUAUGUAGGUUAGGUUCCUUCCCACUCCCUUUUGGGUUUCUUCCUGUUGGAAGUGAUGUGGCCUAAUUCUUUCUUUGUCACUCUCUAGAUAUGUGUUCUUAUGAAAGUUAUUUAUUGCCUUAUUGGAAUUUCUCUGUUAUGUCGUGCACAUUGCUACCUUCAGGUUGUUUAAUUAUUUAAUAUGGAACACAUUGGCAUUAUAUGGAAAAGAGGCAGAUAUAUGAUUCUUUGCAUUUUUGCAAUGUCGUGACUGCAGAGGUAUCCUUCUCUCUGUAACAAAUAUGAUCCUUUGCAUAUUGGGUUUGCAUAUGCUUGCGAUUACCUACUCUAUUUGCGCUCAAAUACCAUAUGUUAUGCACUUAUAGAGGUAAAAGAGAAAUUCAGAGAAAGAUAACAAGAAAAGGACAGAGGAUGCUAAGGAAAAUGAUACUUGGAUAGUUACAUCUACAGUUUAGCUAUUGCUAAAAUCGGUUGCUCCUCUCCUAUUUAGUCAAAUAUGUAUGUGCUUUUUUAUGUUCUGUGGUUAGGACUUAGGACUGACAACUUGAUUAGGUGCAACCUACUUUAACUAACACAUCUUUAAACUAAACUGAACAAAUCCAUUUUAGUUUGUCUAUUUUUGAAUUUAUGUUUCUAUGGUCUCCUUGUUUCAGUUUGUGUUGCACAUUUAUGUGUCAACGACAACUAUCAAACAAGAAAAAUGCUUGCCAGCAAUAACCUACCCCUGACCUCCGUGUUUAUCUUUUCAUGGACAUGGAAAAUGAAAUGCUCAUGAACCACCACUGUCUUUCAUGCUGACAAGGGCUGCCGAUCCACCCAGCACGUGGGUAGCUACACGGAUCUCCAAUCUAGCCCCCUCCCUAUGGCACCGUUCCACCACGCCGACUAGCAUUGAAUAUGCCAUGGAUCUGCCAAGCAGCCGCCUUAGCAUGGUCAUCCGUAACGCUAUCCUGCUUCCAUGCAAGCUUAGGUCAAUCCUCCUCUUCCAUUCCGCGGCUAUUACAUGGAAUAUUAAUGACCAUGUAUUUGCGAACAGUGGUUGCAUUUUCCUUAAAUUUUAGGCAUUCUUCACUUGCUGAUUCCUCAUUUCUGAAUAAAUGCAUCUAUGUUCACACUCACUCUGAUUUUAAAUUGCACUGUAACUAGAAAGCAGAGGAUGCCUUGGUGUUAUGUUGCAACAAAAAUAGAAAGGAAGCAGCAAGUGGAAUAGGUAAAUAUUUCUUUUUAGCUAAUUAGAGAUCGCAGUGCACUGUAGAUUGCCAUGUGCCAGAGCCAUGAGUUGGUUGCGAGAUCUUAUGGGUUUCACCUCUAGCCUACCCCAACUUGCUUGGGACUAAAGGCUUUGUUGUUGUUGUUGUUGUGCACUGUAGAUUGCCAUAACGUUUUCUGGGUUAGCUAUUUUAUUGGUAUACAUAAAAGUAAAUAUGUCACUGGCCUUACAUCUACAUAAAAGUAAAUUUAGAUUUCAGAGGUUGUGCUUUAGAAACUAUGUGUUAUUUAUUUGCCUUUGAGGAAUAAAUUUAGAUGUUCUGUACUGGUAAUUUUUUGUUUCUUUUUCUGUUCAUGUUCUCAUAAUUUUGGCUCUUUUAAAUCCUCAAACUGAGAAGACGAGUGUUAACAAUAUAUGAUUGAUGGCAAAAUCCAUCUUUCCAUUUAAAGGAUGAUCCCUUGAUCGGUAUGCAAUCAAAUUUUAUGAAGGUCCCCAUAUGAAUCUUAUGUUCCCCACUAUAACUUGAAAUAUUGCCUAGCCCAGUUUUCUUUUCGCAGGAUGUUGAGCAGGCCUGCCUUAUUAUGAAACCUGUCGAUUUAGCGGUACCACGGUGGCUGACCAAGAGGAGGAGGAAACCCUCCCAUGCUGUUGCGCCUCCACUCUCCCUCCUCCGAUGCAUACUUGAUGGGAACAGUUAGCUCAUGUCUCUUAGAUAAUACUCCCUCCGUCCGAAUAAUGUAAGACGUUUUUGCAAGCUACAUAGCUUGCAAAAACGUCUUAUAUUGUGAGACGGAGUGAGUACUUCUUUUGCGAGAAGUCUCUUAGAUAAUACUUGGUGAGGCGUGUGCAGGCAUUUUAGUACAUGUUUCUGCACCCCUAGACUCACUCUCCGAACACUGUAUUCAAGGCUCAUUGAGGAUAAGUGCUUCAAGAUGCCUCCUCCUAAUGCACAUAAGUGCACUUGUAUCACUUGCCUCGUGAGAUUAUUGUCCACGACCUGAUCCCUUGUUAUGUUAUCCAUUAUC